UACGUAGGGUGCGAGCGUUGUCCGGAAUUACUGGGCGUAAAGAGCUCGUAGGCGGUCUGUCGCGUCGAUCGUGAAAACUUGGGGCUUAACCCUGAGCUUGCGGUCGAUACGGGCAUGACUGGAGUUCGGCAGGGGAGACUGGAAUUCCUGGUGUAGCGGUGAAAUGCGCAGAUAUCAGGAGGAACACCAAUAGCGAAGGCAGCUCGCUGGGACGGUACUGACGCUAAGGCGCGAAAGCGUGGGGAGCGAACAGG
rnacentral:rRNA from 1 species